AUUGAACGCUGGCGGCAGGCCUAACACAUGCAAGUCGAGCGGAUGAAGGGAGCUUGCUCCUGGAUUCAGCGGCGGACGGGUGAGUAAUGCCUAGGAAUCUGCCUGGUAGUGGGGGAUAACGUCCGGAAACGGGCGCUAAUACCGCAUACGUCCUGAGGGAGAAAGUGGGGGAUCUUCGGACCUCACGCUAUCAGAUGAGCCUAGGUCGGAUUAGCUAGUUGGUGGGGUAAAGGCCUACCAAGGCGACGAUCCGUAACUGGUCUGAGAGGAUGACCAGUCACACUGGAACUGAGACACGGUCCAGACUCCUACGGGAGGCAGCGGUGGGGAAUAUUGGACAAUGGGCGAAAGCCUGAUCCAGCCAUGCCGCGUGUGUGAAGAAGGUCUUCGGAUUGUAAAGCGCUUUAAGUUGGGAGGAAGGGCAGUAAGUUAAUACCUUACUGUUUUGACGUUACCAGCAGAAUAAGCACCGGCUAACUUCGUG
rnacentral:rRNA from 1 species